CUGUCUGUCUCUUUCUUUCCUCCUUCUCUCUAGAACCUUCUGGUUCUCCUUCUCCGAUGGCCUUCACCGUCUCUCUGGUCACCUCCAGCCACGCCUCUUUCGACCACUAGCCACCUUGAAGCCUUAAUCUCACCAGUUCGCUCCACCUCUAGGACUCCAGGAGUCUUCACCAUGCAAUAUGGUCACUGAAGCUUUUUUGGAGUUUGUUUCCGGCCUUUCUGUGAUGGAUUUUGGUCCUAUGGUGCUGUAAACACCAUUAUCCUCAAGUUUCAC
rnacentral:lncRNA from 1 species